UUUAGGCCCAAAGGUGACCUAAUCUAAUACACAAAGCAAAGUAAAAUUAGGAAAGACAAAUAUAGAGAACACGGUAAAAGGGGAAAGUGACUGGGAGUAGCUCUUCUUCCUCUUUCUUGCUAUAACCAUUGUUGUUCAUGAAUCUGGAAAAAUCUUAAGGGACCAACUUCCAUUAACGAAAGAUCGAGAAGCUGAGGUACAUCUAGCUUGGAUAGAUUACAUCUUAGACGCUCCAAAUUGUCACAAACGUCAUGUAAUCUUGUCCGAUGAAGACGUCUUCAACAUGAUGUAGCUCAAGUCUGAUGCUUUCAUUUGAAGGUGAGUUCUAUAAUCUCUGCCUUUUUGUGACUAUUAUGAAUCUUUCUUGUAUCUCUUGGUAUUGAUGAUCUUUCCCUGAAAUUAGAGAGUGCUUUAUUCUUGUUCUUGACGAUUUGUGUUGCUCAUUUCUUGUUUACACCUAUGUAAUCUUACCUCUUCGAGUCCAUGUCCCUAAAUCCUUGUCCUUUGACAGAUUGAGCUCACAAGGAGCUAAUACCACUGUCUAAAGAGCUCCGAUUUAGGCCCAUGUUCUUCAGAUGAGGUACAUCUUGCUCCUUCUUCAUUAUUUCCUUGUCGUUGGCAUUGAAGUAACAUGAACUCAUUAUAUUGCAAAUGAGGGAUUCUGACAGUAGGAAAUUCUUAUAUUUGGAACUUUAUUUGCAUCUAGUUGAAUGAGUGCCUUCCCUUCCUUAGGUACAUCCAUAUAUGUGUUAAAAACUUUAAAACCUCUACCUGCACAUGAAAAAAUAAAAUUAGCAAAAUAGUUCACAACUUUGUUCCCUUCCCUGAACACGUGAGACACCUCCACUUGUCCAUCCCUCCUCAACCAUUGGAUCUUUUUAAUCAGCAAGCUAAUACUCCAUGGAGUUUCCCAAAUGCCAUCCAAUAUUUUCGACACAAUUAGUGAAUCAGUCUCCAAUAUAACAGGUAAUAGAUUGUGUGACAUACAAAAUUGCAAUCCUCUUUCAAAAGCAAUGACUUCUGCUUCCAGACUUGUUUUGAAACCCAACUCUUGUGAUGUUGUAUAUAUGAAUUCUCCAUUCCAAUUUCUGAUACAGAAACCUCCAGCACUAGGUCUUGGAUUACCUUUUGAUGCACAAUCUGUAUUACAUUUGUACACCCCCAUGUUAGGAGGUACCCAAUAUAUCACCUUAGUAGCUAGAACAGAUAUGUAAUUCUCAAAGAAUUUCACCAUCAUAGACCAAUCUUUAGGUAUGUUCCUUAACCAAGGAUACCUAACCAUAGCAAGAUUGUGAAUAUUUCUAGUAAUUUCUGCCAACAUAUUGUACCUAGAUAUUUUACCUCCAUGCUUCACUGUGUUUCUCCCUUUCCAGCUCUCCCAUAGAAUAAAACCAGGGAUAGCAUUGAAUAAUGGUCUCAGUUUAGCACUACAGUUUGCAUUCCACCAUUUAAAAAUGGUGUCCUUCAGUUGCAAAAAAGGCCCCUCAAUUCCAGCAGCUCUUCCAACCAUGUUCCACAAAAAUUGAGCUUUAUGACAAGCAACGAAUAGAUGUUCCCAUGUUUCAUCCAUAUUAAGGUCACAACAACAACAAUACACCACCUCUUCUAUCAUCAUCUUGACCAAAAGUUCCCCAAUAGGAAUUCUUUGUUUGACCAAUCUCCAAAAGAAGAAAGAGAUUUUAAAAGGAACCCCUUUUUUCUAUACUUUUCUAAAUUCUUCCUGAUAUACCUCAGGAGUCCUUAAAAUUUCCCAGGCUGAUCUGAUGGAAAACUUACCUGUGUGAUUGGACAUCCAGUAAGGUUUAUCCGUCUCCUCACACUGUUGAACAAUAUAAAUUUCCUUAAUAAUGUGGUUUGCUACUUCUUUAGGGAAGGUAUGUCUUAUCAACUCCUCAUUCCACUUGCCAUGUACCAUCAAUUUACUAAUGUCUUCUUGUAACAUAUUAGAAGAAAAUGAUACUGGAAAAUAGUAAUGUAAUGCUCCAAUUUGAGACCAGUUAUCAUACAUAAUACUAGAAGAUCCAUUGUUAGGCUGCCACCAAAUUUCUUGAUCUAUGGAAUCCCUAGCCUGUAACAUAUGUUUCCAAGUCUAAAAGCCUCCCUUCCACUCUACUAUUUGAGGUCUACACUUUUUACAGUAUUUGUUCCACAUGAAGUGUAACCACAUAGAGUGUUUGGUCCUAAAAUUCCACCAAAGCUUCGCAAACAAAGCUCUUGAUACAUCAAAUAAUGACCUGAAGCCUAAUCCUCCUUCCAUUUUAGCUUGACAAAUGUCAGUCCAAGAAACCCAAUGCUUAUUUUUGCAACCUUCUUUAAAACUCCACAUAAAUCUUGUAAUUAGGAGGUAUGAUAGUUGAUAGUUGAUAUAUAGGGACACUUUGCAACACAUUAUUAAUUAGAACAACCUUUCCUCCAAAAGAGAGCAAUUUUCCUUUCCAAACUUGUAGUUUAUUCAGCACUUUCUUCAUCAGGUCAGCAAAGUGAGUUUUCCUUUUCCUAGCAUGACCAAUUGGACAUCCUAGGUAUGUUAAGGGAAACUUACCUCUAGGAAAUCCAGAGCAUUCCUCUAUCAGUUGAAUAUCUCUAUGAGCAGCCAUAAUAUGCACAAAAAAAAGCACUUUUGUCUCUAUUAAUCUUUUGCCCUAAUUUCCUUUCAUAGUCCUGCAAAGUAUUCAUUAACAAAUUUAUAGAGAAAUUGUCAGCAUUAACAAAAAUUGUGGUAUCAUCAGCAUAAGCCAAGUGAGAAAUGUUUUCACUCCACUUAGGUAAUCCAAAGCUCUUAUACUGAGGACAAGAGUGUAGGUUAUUCAAUGCCCUUGAGAGAACCCUAGCAACUAAUAUAAAUAAUGAAGGGGAUAGUGGGUCCCCUUGUUUGAUCCCUCUAGUAGAAUGGAAGAAUCUGGAUGCUUGCCCAUUAAUCAAUAUAGAGUACCAAUUAUUAGUAACUAGUCUCCAAAUCUUAUCUGAGAAUACAUUAUUGAAGCCCAUCUUGGCAAGAACUUUCAUCAUAAAUCCCCAGUCCACUCUAUCAUAAGCUUUCUCCAUGUCUAGCUUAAACACUACAUUAGCAGUAUUACUCCUCUUUCUGAUGUCUACUAUGAUUUCUUGUGCAAGUAAAACAUUUUUAGUAAUGUUCCUUCCUUUAACAAAUCCAGAUUGGUUAUUUGAGAUAAGCUUAGGCAGCAGUCCCUCAAAACGGUCAUGAAUGAGUCUAGUUAUGAUCUUAUUUAAGAAGUUACUCGGAUUGAUAGGUCUUUAAUCAGAAAAAGAGACCAUAUUUUCUCUUUUAGGGAUUAAGAUUAGAUUAGUGUGAGUAAUAGAUUUUGGUAAAGUCAAACCACUAAAAAAGGCUUGUAUUACAGCAAAUAUAUCAUAACUAACAAUAUCCCAGCAAAACUGAUAAAAAUGACCUGUAAAUCCAUCAGGACCACUAGCACUGUCUCCAUUCAACUCAAAAAUUACCCUUCUGACUUCAUUUAAUGAAAGAGACCUGUUCAAUUGCACAUUAUGUUCUUCAGAUACCAGCCCAGUAACUAAAUCAAUUAAGGUCAUAUCUAUAUCAUCUGACCCUCCUGUAAAUUGCUCAUCAUAAAAAUUAUUGGCUUCUGUCUCCACUUCCUUACCCUCAGUCCAUGUACCAUCAGCUUUCUAAAUUUUAUCAAUGUGCAGUCUCUUCCUUCUGCCUUUUAAUUUUUGGGGGUGCGGAAUUCAUCUGUUCUUAUAUUAAUUUUAGCUAAAGGUUUUAUUAUAAUAUUCUUUGGCUAAGGGUUUUAAUCUUGAUAUUUCUUUAAUAUUAUUUAUGAUGUAUUCUAGGUAUAACAUAUCUUGGGUUCUUAGGUACAUAUAUAAAUUAUUCUCCAUUAAUUGUUCUAGUAGUUUUAUAUUUUCCAUAGCUUCUGUGCAAUUUUGUAAAUAUUCGUAGUUCAUUUUAAUCUGAAUCUUCUAUUUCUAAAUCAUAUAUUUCGGGGUCUGAAUAUAGAUCAUGUAGGUCUAUCUCAUACCAUUGUUGGUUUAGUAUAUCUUUUGAUUCAUCGUCAUUAAAUAUUUUUUCCCAUAUAAUUCUUCUUAAUUCCACUAUCUUUAUAUCUUUAAGUAUAUAUAAAAUUAAAGUUUUAUAACUUUUUAUCAUUUCAUCAUGCAUAUAUGUAGUCAUGUCCUUUGUUAUGCAGGUUUUUGUUUUCAAUUAUUCCUUCCUAUCAUAUUCAUAAUUGAUUAAAUUCAUAUUAGAUCAUUAUGAGCUAGAUUAUCUUUUAUCAUGUUCUCCUGUCACUACUAGCAUCGUACUUUAGCAGAUACUUCCUCCUUAUCAGCGCCUCAACUGCGUUUACUCCCCUAACAACUUUCCUCGCCUACUGGUUUCAACAUUAGGAUGGCAUAGUAUAAGAGUUUUCUCUCUGUUUCCAGUGUGCUAAUAAACUAGAAAUCAUGAUUCAAAUAAUUCUAAUACAUAAUAACUAACAUAAAUUUAUUCAAUCAUAUAUAUGAUAUUCAGGAAUAUAUGAAAUUAGUUCUGCAUAUUUAUUAAACAAUAUACUUUUGCCUCUUGCUCAUCCAUGAUAUUUGAAGGUUGCUCCAUUAUCUAUUAAGUAUGAAUAUCUUAAGUAUUUUGAGAGUAUUUGAGAGUGUUUUUAUGAAAGUUUGCUUCGUUUAUUGAAGGCUUGCCUCUUAUGUUCCAUAUACAUUCAUUUAUAUAGAAAGGAAAUUCUAUCCUAUAGCUACUUUACAAUAAUGCACAAUAAUGCACAUCCUAUACUACUUAAUAAUGCCCCUAAUAAUUUACAAUAAUGCGCCUACUUUACGACUUUUUUACAUAGUACUGUACACUUUAUACUAUUUGCUUUUGGCUUUGUCGGCCAAAUAUGUCUUCUUUGCCUUAUCUUCUUAUCUCUUCAGUCUUCCGUCUCUAUCUUCUAUUUCUUUUCUUCUUUAUCUUCUUAUCUCUUAGGCUUUGAUUUGAUCAUUCCAGCUGGACAUCUGGAAUCACAUUGUCUUCUUCAUUACAUUUUGAACAUAUAUGGUCAGGGUAUUUGUGUCCAAUUAGCUUGCAAUAUCUAGUUAAUAGCUCUGACGAAAUAAAUCAUGCCUUUAAUGCUCUUGUUGUAGGUCUUUCUUCUGGUUUUAAUAAAGAUAAAAUCCAUUUCUGGACUUCAUCCAUAUCUGAUUUCCUUAGCUCUCUUGAGUUGGCAUAAAUCAUUAAUUGAUCUCUGGAAUAGUAACUCCAUAUAGCAUUUCCAUUUAAAUAAUUUGGCUAAUCCUUUUUCUCAUGUUGUAGACUAUCUGCAUACGUCGAAGUUUGUGGUUCUGUGGUUAAUGGGUUCUUUGCUUUUUGUGUAAAUGGUUUUUCAAAUAACUGGUUUAAAUUUGUAUUUCGUUAUUUUUUUCAAUAACUGGUUUUCUUGUAUCUGCAACUGUAUUUAAACAAACAUUAUGGGUUUUUAGGUGUUUCCCAACGUCACCUCUUAACUCUGGAUUUGUAAAGUCUUCCGAUCGACUUUGCUCCGCAUUUUUACAGUCAUGCUGCUGACUUGUACUAGCUUUAGACUUCAGAUUAUCUUCAUUAGUCUUUAGCUUUUGUAUCUCAUUGUCCAUACUGUCCACUUUUAUACAAAGUGUAGUAAUGGUUUUGAGUAUUUCUUCAAUUAUAUUUUCUUUCACAGUUUGAGUAGCUUUGUCUUGAUAAGUAAUCUGCAAUAACAUUCUUAUCUGUCUUUAUUACUUCAAUAGUAAAUGUAAAAUUUAAUAUAUUUAAUACCAAUCUUCUUAUUUCUUUUGUAGUUACUGAAUCUUGUAUUUUUCUUGGUAGCCACCAUUUCACUUGUGUAUUAUUUGUCCUUAUAAUAAAUUUGUAAUAUACAAUAUAUGGUUCAAAUGAUAAUAAACAUUUAUAUACCGAAUAUAAUUCUUUUCUGUUUAUUUUCCAUUUUAUUUCUGUAUUAGUAAAUGUUCCUGAAUAAUAUCUAUAAUGAUGUUCUAUCUCUUCUUUAUCAUACCUGUAUUUUAAGACUCCUCCAUAACUCUUUUCACUGGCAUCUGAUUCUACUAUAUAAGUAAAUUUUUGUUUUCAUCUGGGAAAUAUAGUUUAGGUAGGUUUUUUACAUAAAUAGUUUUACCUUUUGUAUUUGUAUUUGGUCUUUUUAUCAAACUGAUACUCUAUAUCUUUCUUUAAUUUUUGUUGUAAUGGUUUUAAAUUCUCUGCUAAUUUUGGUAUGUAUUCUCUUACUUGAUUUACUAGUACCUAAAAAUGAUUGUAAUUUCUUUUUUGUAUCUAGUUGUUCAUUUGAGUUAAUUAUUUUUUGUACUAUAUGUGUUUACAUUUUUAUUCCAUUUUUAUCUAUUUGUAUUCCUAAGAAUUCUAUUUGUUUUUUCAUUAUGUCCGCUUUCUUUUUACUUAGGCUUAUGCCUGAACAUUCUAUGAUAUGUAUAAACUUUUCUAAUAACUUCAUAUGUUCUUCCUGUGUUUUGGAAUAUAGUAAUAUAUCAUCAAUAUAUACUACACAAUUUUCUAAUUGUUUAAAAUAGUUAUCCAUAAAGUGUUGAUAUCUACCUGGUGCAUUUUUAUAUCCAAAUGGUAAUACAUUCCAUUCAUAAAAUCCUUGUGGUACUAUAAAUGUUGUAAGUUUUUUAGAUUCUUCUUCUAACUUUAAGUGGUAAAAUCCUGAUUUGCAGUCAAAUUUACUAAAGUAAUUAUAUCCUUGUAUUUGUCUUAUUUUUAAUAUUUUAUUUGGUAUUGGGUAAUUAUAUGUUUUAGUUUUUGCAUUUAAAUUUCUAUAGUCAAUAACCAUUCUACUUUUUCCUCUUUUUUGUUCACUAUGUUUAUUUACUAUAAAUGCUGGGCUUGUAUGUUUACUAUUAGUUUUUUGUAUAUAUCCUUUUUCUAGUAAUUCAUUUAUAUGUAUCUUAAAUUCUGUUAAAUCAUUAAAAUUAUAUUUUAAUGGUUUCUGUGUUAUUAUGCUAUUGUUGUCAAUUAGCUCAACCUUUAUUUUUGUUUUAUGUUUUUUCCAUCCUUGUAAAGGGUCUUCGCUAUAUAAUAAUUCUAAUUUAUCCUGGAUUAUUUUUACUUUGUCUAUAGAGAAUAUAAUUAAUUCUAUUUUUGAGUGUUCUUCUGCUAUAUUUUCUAGCUUUUUGUGUAAUUUUUUCACUUCCUUUUAUCCUAUUCUGUUGUUUUCCGUUUUUUGUUAUUCACUCUCUUUGCUCCUAUUUUUGUUUACAUGGUGUUGUUAACCACCAGUGUGUUUUUGUUAUUAUGUGUGGGUAUAAUUUUUCUAAAAAGGGCAUUCCUAAUAACAUGUCUUUUGUUGUAAAUUCAAAGUUAUAUAUUUCUUCUAUGGUUAAUAUCUUAUCCCAUAUUUGUAUUUUUAUAUUUUUUGUCUUAUAUGUGAUCAUGCUUCCUUCAUUAUUAAAUCUUGUUACUACUAAAUGUGUUUUUAACUUUUCCCAUUUAGUUUCUGGUAAGCAAUUAUAUUUACAUAUGUUAGCUUCUGCUCCUGUGUCUAUCAUUGAAGUAUAAUAUCUAUUAUAAUAUCCUUCUACUAUUAUUUUUGCAAGUAUAUAUAUUUUUGUCAUAAUAAAGUUCUUUUUAUUAUUACUUUUUUGUUUUCAUAAUUUAUUGUUAAUUGUUUAUCUUCUAGGUUAUAUGGUUUUACUUUUUCUAACCAUUUUAUUCCUAAAGUAAUAUUUUUAUCUCCUUGAUAUAUUUUAAAUUUCAUUACUAUUGGUAUUCCUCCUAUAAUUAUUUCCUUUUCUGUUGUUUCUUCAGUAUUUAUUAAUUCUUUUGGUAGUUCAGGACAUAAUUGUUUCGUAGUUAUUAUUUCAUCUUCCGUUACUAAUUCUCUUGUAAUAUAGUUUUCUUCUUGUCCAGUAUUUAUUAAUAUUAAGUAUUUUCUUUGUUCCAUUAUUCCCGUUAUGUAGUUAUGAUAUGGUUUUAUUUCUUCUAUCAUUUGUUCUAUUAAUUUUUGUGGAGUUUUAUCUGUUCUUCUAGAGGUACUCAUUUUUGAUGAUAUUUGUGGUAUUUCAUAGAUUAUUCUUUUUGAUGUACUUAAUCUUUCUUUUACUAUUUCUAGAUCUUUUUCUAUAUCAAUCUUCCUAUAACUAUAAUCAUUAUUAUCUAUAACUGUAACUAUGCUUUCAAAAGGAUUUUCUAUUUUUAUUUUUUUUAUUUUAUUUUUUGCUGUUAUUUUAUGUUUUGUUGUUAAGACAUAUAAGUUUUUACAUCUAGCUGUAAAUAUUUUACUUCCUGGUGCUAGUUCUAUCCCUGACAUUUUCCAAUAUAAUACUAGUGACUUAUCUAUGUUUCUGUCAUUUACUGCUACUGAGUAGUUAGCACUUAUUAUGAAUUUAAAUUUUUGGUAUAUUAAGUUUUCUUUUGAGUCACUUAUUAUGCUUUUUUCUAUAGGUUGUAUAAUUCUAUCAUCUGCUAAGUAUAUUUCUAUAGGUGUAUCUAUUCCUUCUCUAAAACAUGCUUUUAUUAGUAUUUCUGUUCCUCCUAAAUGUACAUAUUUAAUUGGGUUUUUAGCCUUAAUAUCUUGUAUUUCUUUAUUUAUUAUUCGCUUAUUUAUUAUUGGUAUUUUAGCCUUACCUUUGGUGUAUUUACAAUCUAUGAUAUGUUCCUUUUGACUUACUACAUAAUAUUCUUCUUUUUGUCUUUUAAACCAAUUUCUUAUUGUUGGUAUUUCUAAUAUUUUUUUCACGCUUAGGUCUAAUUCUUUUCCUUUUAUUUGUUCAAAUAUAUUAUUAUCAAAUAUUAUUUUUGUUCUGAAGAUUCUUCAUCUUGAUAUUCUUCUUUUAGUUAUUAUUUGUAUAUCUUUUUCAGUCAUUUGUUAUAAUAUAGAACUCAUUGUUUGAUUCCAUUUCUAUAUCAUUAUUCAUUUCAUUUUCUGAUAUUUCAUAUAUGCUAUCUUCACUUUCUAAUUCAUAAUCUAUGUAUUCUAUCUGCAUAUAUUUUUCAUCGUCUAUUAUUAUUUCUGAUAUUUGUUUUUUCUUUGGAUUUUUAGGUAAUUUACAAUCUCUAGCUAUAUGUCCUAUUUUGCCACAAUUAUAACAAGUACAUUCGGUUAAUAUUUUCUUUGGCCUAUAUGAUCUUUUAGUUUUGUAAUUUUUUACAUAGUAUCUCCUUUUUGGUUUUUUAUGUUUAUAUUUUGAUUUGUAUUUUUUAUUAUACUUCUUUUUAUAAUAUCUAUCUGUACAUCCGAAUUGGGGUGCCGUUUUACUUUUGCAACAUGCUAAGUUUUUUACUAAUAUUUUUUCCAUUUUUAUUUCUUCUUUAUGUUGCUCACAUAGCAACCAUCGUUGCAAGAAUUUCAUUCUAGCUCCUAAAGUUUCUUUUAAUUCUGCUUCAUUCCAACUUUUUAUUACUUUUGAACUAAAAGGUUCGGAUAAUUUUGUAAAAUAUAGUUUCCUUAUUCUUUACUUUCUUCUGUACUAUAUGUUCCUUUAUAAUAGUAUUCUCUAAAUGCACACGUAUAUUCAUCUAUAUAGCACAUAUUACAUACUGCUAAUUUUGUCAUUAGAUUCCUGUUUAUAAUUUUUUUCUUUAUUUUGUUCUUCUACUUCUGUUGUCAUACUACUAAAUUCAUUUCUUAUAGCUAUUUCGUAUUUAUAUAAUUAUUUUCAUAGUUGUAGUAGCUAAUUCACCAUCAAAAUUUUUUAUUACUUCUUAAAAGUUUUUAAACUUUCAUCUGAUAGAUUUUUGUAGCCAUAAUUUUACUGUUUCUAUAAGUAGUUCUUUCUAUAUAUCCUGGUGUUUCUGUCAUUCUAUUUUGUUAUCUAUUAAUUGUUUUGAUAUAUAGCCCAUCCAUAGUUGGAUUGUUUUAUUUAUAUCUUCUACACAGUCCAAGUCUAAGAAAUUAUGUUGUUCUGUCAUUGGUUUUGGUGUCCAUUUUUUAUUCAGUCUUUUAUCCCAUAUAGUUUUAUUUCUAUCAUAUUGUUCAUAGUUAGCAUUAUAAUAUUUUGGAUUUAAGUUUUUUGGAUUUUUUACUCCUGAUGUACUGGGUUUUUCAUCCUCCAUUUUGACAUCACCUGUGUUUACUUCUGGAUUUUUUGUCAUGUUUUCUAAGAGUUUUGUAUAUGUUUCACUUGUUUUUGAAUGUUGUUCAUCUAGAUCAUUGUCGUUUAUUUCAUCAAUUCUUAUGUUAUCUUGGUUAUUUUCUUCUAGUUCUUCUUCUAAUUGUAAUUUUUCUUUAAAUUUAUUUAUCUCAUUUGCUAAUUUUGUUUUUUGCUCUUUUUCUUUUUGUUUAAUUUCAUACAUUUCUUUUAAUACUGCUAAUUCUUUUUCUAGUUCUAUUAUUUUAGUAUCUUUUACUUCUUCUAAUUGUUGUACUUCCUUUUUUGCUUGUUGUUUUAUUUUUUCAAUUUCCGUUUUUCUAUCUAUCUCUUCAUUUUCUUNNNNNNNNNNNNNNNNNNNNNNNNNNNNNNNNNNNNNNNNNNNNNNNNNNNNNNNNNNNNNNNNNNNNNNNNNNNNNNNNNNNNNNNNNNNNNNNNNNNNUAUCUUCUAAUUUUACUGUUUCUUUUUCUAGCAUUAAACUUAUAUUUUCUCCUAUUUUCUUAUAUCUUCUUCCUAAAUUAGAAAAUAUUAUCUUUAUUUUUAAUCCGUCAUAGUUUUCAUGUGUUUUUUUCAUCUAUUGCGUAUUCUUCUUUAUUCAUUUAUAAAUUGUGUUGUAGUUUAUAUUCUAAGUUUUUUAUUUGUAUCUGUAGAUAUAAAAUUAUUUUUCUCUGUGCUACUAUAGAUUUUUUACAAGUUCCUGCAAAUAUAUUACUGUUAAGUCUAUUUUGCCUAUGUCUUAAUUCUUGUCUUUUUGUUAUAAUUAUUUCAAUAGGAUUUUUUUUAUACUCGUUAUUCAUUGUAUUUUUAGAAAUUGAAUAUAUUUAUAUUCUAUUUUAGAUAUAUUAUCUAUCAAUUGUUCUAAUUUAUUAUUAUUGGUUUUAGUAAUGUUGAGUUGUUUGUAUUCUGGGUAUAAUUUGUUUAAUUUCCCUUUGAUUUUCCUUAAUUUUCUAGUAAUUUUCUUUUCAUCCAUAGCUCUGAUACCAAUUUUUGGGGGUGCGGAAUUCAUCUGUUCUUAUAUUAAUUUUAGCUAAAGGUUUUAUUAUAAUAUUCUUUGGCUAAGGGUUUUAAUCUUGAUAUUUCUUUAAUAUUAUUUAUGAUGUAUUCUAGGUAUAACAUAUCUUGGGUUCUUAGGUACAUAUAUAUAUUAUUCUCCAUUAAUUGUUCAAGUAGUUUUAUAUUUUCCAUAGCUUCUGUCCAAUAUUAUAAAUAUUCUUAGUUCAUUUUAAUCUGAAUCUUCUAUUUCUAAAUCAUAUAUUAAAGAAAUAUCAAGAUUAAAACUCUUAGCCAAAGAAUACUAUAACAAAAAAUUUACUUAUAUAGUAGAAUCAGAUGCCAGUGAAAAGAGUUAUGGAGGAGUCUUAAAAUACAUGUAUGAUAAAGAAGAGAUAGAACAUCAUUGUAGAUAUUAUUCAGGAACAUUUACUAAUACAGAAAUAAAAUGGAAAAUAAACAGGAAAGAAUUAUAUUCGGUAUAUAAAUGUUUAUUAUCAUUUGAACCAUAUAUUAUAUAUAACAAAUUUAUUACAAGGACAGAUGAUACACAAGUGAAAUGGUGGCUAACAAGAAAAAUACAAGAUUCAGUAACUACAAAAGAAAUAAGAAUAUUGGUAUUAAAUAUAUUAAAUUUUACAUUUACUAUUGAAGUAAUAAAGACUGAUAAGAAUGUUAUUGCAGAUUACUUAUCAAGACAAAGCUACUCAAACUGUGAAAGAAAAUAUAAUUGAAGAAUUACUCGAAGCCAUUACUACACUUUGAUAAAAGUGGACAGUAUGGACAAUGAGAUACAAAAGCUAAAGACUAAUGAAGAUAAUCUGAAGUCGAAAGCUAGUACAAGUCAUCAGCAUGACUGUAAAAAUGCGGAGCUAAGUCGAUCGGAAAACUUUAAAAAUCCAGAGUUAAGAGGUGACGUUGGGAAACACCUAAAAACCCAUAAUGUUUGUUUAAAUACAGUUGCAGGUACAAGAAAACCAGUUAUUGAAAAAAAUAACGAAAUACAAAUUUAAACCAGUUAUUUGAAAAACCAUUUACACAAAAAGCAAAAAACUCAUUAACCACAGAACCACAAACUUCGACGUAUGCAGAUAGUCUACAACAUGAGAAAAAUGUAUAUAACCAUAUUACAAGGAUAUACAUCGAAAAUAUAUACAAAAUCCAAACUUAUUUAAACCUAAAUCCCAGAUCUACCACUACAAAAGAUCCAAACCAAGACUAUAUAACUCAGAAAUUACAAGGAUACAACAAGCUAAUCGCCCAGCCAAAAACCAAUUGUAACCUAGUUAAAACAUGUUAUAAUUAUGGAUUAAUAAGUACUGCAUAUACCUACGACAGAUAAGAACUAAGCGGUAUACUAGAAUUAUACAAAGCAUUUAUUAUAUAUAAAAAAGUAACCAAAGGGAAUUUAUUCUAUGUGAAAUUAUAUACGGCAACAACAGAGAUAUUACAUGAGGAGAUAAAAACCUCCGAUUCAAGUUGUAAAGAUAGGCCUGACCAAAGAUAUGAUAAUACCGAAAGAUAUUGGAGAACAACCAGAAAUAUCGAAAAUUGAGAUACCCAAUUUUUAUUUCAAUAAAAGAAUAAUUGGUAUAUCAACUAUAAUACAAGAAUUAGCCAACAAUUAUUUAAAUGGAAAUGCUAUAUGGAGUUACUAUUCCAGAGAUCAAUUAAUGAUUUAUGCCAACUCAAGAGAGCUAAGGAAAUCAAAUAUGGAUGAAGUCCAGAAAUGGAUUAUAUCUUUAUUAAAACCAGAAGAAAGACCUAUAACAAGAGCAUUAAAGGCAUGAUUUAUUUCGUCAGAGCUAUUAACUAGAUAUUGCAAGCUAAUUGGACACAAAUACCCUGACCAUAUAUGUUCAAAAUGUAAUGGAGAUGACAAUGUGAUUCCAGAUGUCCAGCUGGAAUGAUCAAAUCAAAUAAAGCCUAUGAGAUAAGAAGAUAAAGAAGAAAAGAAAAAGAAGAUAGAGACGGAAGACUGAAGAGAUAAAAAGAUAAGGCAAGGAAGACAUAUUUGGCUGACAAGGCCAAAAGUAAAUAGUAUAAAGUGUACAGUACUAUGUAAAAAAGUCGUAAAGUAGGCGCAUUAUUGUAAAUUAUUAGGGGCAUUAUUAAGUAGUAUAGGAUGUGCAUUAUUGUGCAUUAUUGUAAAGUAGCUAUAGGAUAGAAUUUCCUUUCUAUAUAAAUGAAUGUAUAUGGAACAUAAGAGGCAAGCCUUCAAUAAACGAAGCAAACUUUCAUAAAAACACUCUCAAAUACUCUCAAAAUAACUUAAGAUAUUCAUACUUAAUAGAUAAUGGAGCAACCUUCAGAUAUCAUGGAUGAGCAAGAGGCAAAGGUAUAUUGUUUAAUAAAUAUGCAGAACUAAUUUCAUAUAUUCCUGAAUAUCAUAUAUAUGAUUGAAUAAAUUUAUGUUAGUUAUUAUGUAUUAGAAUUAUUUGAAUCAUGAUUUCUAGUUUAUUAGCACACUGGAAACAGAGAGAAAACUCCUAUACUAUGCCAUCCUAAUGUUGAAACCAGUAGGCGAGGAAAGCCGUUAGGGUAGUAAAUGCAGUUGAGGCGCUGAUAAGGAGGAAGUAUCUGCUAAAGUACGAUGCUAGUAGUGACAGGAGAACAUGAUAACAGAUAAUCUAGCUCAUAAUGAUCUAAUAUGAAUUUAAUCAAUUAUGAAUAUGAUAGGAAGGAAUAAUUGAAAACAAAAACCUGCAUAACAAAGGACAUGGCUACAUAUAUGCAUGAUGAAAUGAUAAAAAGUUAUGAAACUUUAAUCUUAUAUAUACUUAAAGAUAUAAAGAUAGUGGAAUUAAGAAGAAUUAUAUGAGAAAAAAUAUUGAAUGACGACGAAUCAGAAGAUAUACUAAACCAACAAUGGUAUGAGAUAGACCUACAUGAUCUAUAUUCAGACCCCGAAAUAUAUGAUUUAGAAAUAGAAGAUUCAGAUUAAAAUGAACUACGAAUAUUUACAAUAUUGGACAGAAGCUAUGGAAAAUAUAAAACUACUAGAACAAUUAAUGGAGAAUAAUUUAUAUAUGUACCUAAGAACCCAAGAUAUUUUAUACCUAGAAUACACCAUAAAUAAUAUUAAAGAAAUAUCAAGAUUAAAACCCUUAGCCAAAGAAUAUUAUAAUAAAACCUUUAGCUAAAAUUAAUAUAAGAACAGAUGAAUUCCGCACCCCCAAAAAUUGGUAUCAACCUAAUUUCUGUCUCCAAAACUCUUCCUCAAAGUGUAGAUACUUGUUAUACUCAGCUUGAGCUCUACUAAGUACCUCUCUGUUGACUGUAGAAGGUGUUUGCUCAAACAAUUGUUCCUUAACUCUGACAAUAUCUUCCCUGAUGAUAAGUUGUUGGAAAAUAUCACCAUAACACUCUCUGCUCCACUUUCUCAAAGCUUGCCUAGUUCUCUUCAUCUUCAACUUCAAGUUUACAAAAACAUCUGAGGUUCCAUCAGCAACCCAAUUCUGCUGCACCACCUCUUUGAACUCUUCUUUCUCAGUCCAAAAUUUAAGAAAUCUGAAAGGUUUAUAAAGAUGUGGAACUUGUCCACCACAAGUUAAUAACAUUGGAGCAUGAUCAGAUCCAGACCUGGCAAGAAUAUCUAAUUUUACAUUCCCCAUUUCUCCCAAAAAUAGAUUGUUUACAAAGAUUUUGUCCAAUCUUUUGAAGAUACACUCCUCAUCAGCCCUACCAUUCCACCAGGUGAAUGGACUUCCAUUUAAUCUUAUAUCAACCAAUUCACAAGAAUUUGUGCAGAAAGCAAAGUCUUCCACUUCAGAAGGAUAAACUGGCAGACCACCUAUUUUCUCUUCUGGAGACAAAAUUACAUUAAAAUCACCUCCUACCAACCAUGGAUAUACAAUACUCUGAUCAAUAGAGUAGAUCGCAUUCCACAAUUGUAGUUUUUCAUAGGAACUACAUUUUGCAUAUACCAAGGUAUUGAUCAUUUGAUGGCCAUUAUCAAAUAGUAAUUUCACAGUCAGUUGUUGUUCUGAGUCAGAUAUUACCUCCACUUGAAUAUUCUCUUGUACAAAUAUCCAUAUCUUCCCAUUUACAUUAUAAUUUUUAUAUGACAUGCCCAAUCUUCUUUUAUAUGAUUGAAUAUGCCUUAUAUCUUGAAAAGGUUCCAUAAGAGCCACCACAUCAAAUUUAUGGUGUCUAUGCAACAUUUGUACUGUGUGGAAUGAAUGAUGAGUUCUCACAGAUCUAAUAUUCCAUAUCAAAGCUUUGUACAUGAUUUUAGAUUUGUUCUUACAGUCCUCACCGGGUUGACCCUAAUAGGUCCUUGAGGUUUAAUCUUUCUCUUCUUUGUUAUCUCUUAUGUUGAUAGUCUUGCUUCUAUACACACCUCAAUGAGGUUAUUUUGGUCAUCACAUUCAUCCUGUUCCUCCACCUUAGCCCUCUCCUGUUGUGCAACAUUUAUUUGAUUCUCCUUGUUUACCCAUGGAUGAGUUACCAAUUCAUGAAACAUUUGCAUGGGAAAACUUUGAUGUGUGUCAACAAAAAGAAUUAACCUUGUAUCUGCAGGUGUUGAAAGUGCUCUCUGUUGAUUUCCAUGUGCCUUAUUGGCUUGCUCACAAUAUGCAAGGGCUAACAAUUCUUCUUGUUCAGAUAUAUGGGUCCCAUCAACACAUUCAAUCUGUAAAGGUCUGGGAAAUAUGUCUCCCUGACUGGUAGCUGAUGUCUCCUCCUUUGUCCAUUUUACAAUUGAUUGAUAUUCACCAUUAGGCCUAACAUUAACCUCUUUUGUUCUAUUCUGCAGAUUGGCAUAUGCUACAAUAUUCAUGUUUUCAUCUUCCAGCUUAUCUUUAUCCAUUAAUGUAUGCUCUUCUAUGUCCAGGUUUAUAUUGCAACUUGUAAUGAUUGACAACUCCCAUGUAGUAUAUGUUUGUGAAUGACUUUUUUGUUCAUCUCUGCAUUGCAUCUCUGUGAUUGUUUGCCUGCUAGUUCCCUGAUCAUGUAUGUCCUUUACCUUAUAGAAAAAAUUACACACCCAUCCUUUAGUGCACUCCUGUACUCCUUUAUCUGUAAUUAUUCUCUGCUCUGCUUCAGCAUCAAUAUCAGUAUUUUCUUUUGUAAGAGCAUUAAAAGGGUUACUAGUAGUAACCUUUUCUUUCUCUAUUUUUCUUCGACUACAUCAGCUGCGAUAUUGGUAUCCCUUUAAGAAAAGGUAGUAGGGAUCCACUGCUUAUAAACUUUUCCUUGAACUCUCUGAUGUUGUUGUUUAAAUACCUCAUUGUCAUUCCCCUUUUCAUCCUCUGUUGGUUCCUUCUUUUUCAAUUCUGGGUGUAGAAUUUUACACUCUUCCUCAUUAUGCCCGUGUAAUCUGCACUUCUUGCAAUAUUUAGGUAGCAUGUCAUAUACUUCUCUAAUCUUCUCCACUCUGGACGUAUUCUUAAUAGGAUCAGCAACUUCCAAUUCCACCAGGUUAGGUAGCUCCCCCAGUAAAUCCACCUGGACUUUCACCCUCGCACAACUAGGUCUAGUCUUGUUAAUGGUUGCAUUAUCCAGGUGAAUUGGUUUCCCUAUAGUUGUCGCUAGUGAAAAUAGAGAUUCCUUCCCAAAAAAUGUAGGCCAUAGGUCAGGAAAAGAAAUCCAUGCCAUAGCUUGAGUGGUUUCUUCAGUAACUAUGAAUUUUUCUUCAUAUAUUAGAGGUCUCAUAAGUGAUGUAAUAGCCAUCAUAUUCACAAAAUCUUCAACAAGUUCCAACCUUAUUAAUACAUGCUUGUUUCUCAAUAAACCGAUCUGGAAGUCUCCUUUAAUAUGACAUUGAGCACGUAUCAUCUUCCUUAAUUCCUCCAAUUGUGGCCAGCCAAAAGAGAACUUUCCUAUCACCGCAUAUUGAAGGUUUUCCAAUGCAUUCAUCCUCUUAACUUCAUCCUCCGUCCAUGUCACACUUGGAACACCAUUCUUGAAAGUAGGAAUAUCGGGGAGCCCACCUGGGCCUUAUCAUUAUUCAGAGAGUUCAUAUGCAGAAGUUUUAGAAGAGAUGCACAGUUGCCUUUAUUGGAUUUCAUCUUUUCUUCGCUAAGCAAAUUAUGCACGGUAGGCAAAUUAUUAGGAUCAGAAGUAAGUGGGAUCGGUUGACGACCACCCAUCACCGCCGACUGGCCAACGGCCGCUCCGAUCAUAGAUUCAGAUGUAAAAGGUUAGGGUUUGCAUGAAAAUCGGAUCGACCUAAACCUUACAAAAAGAGUAAUAGUAACCUUUUAUAUAUAUAUAUAUAUAUAUAUGAGGAUAUGUAAAAGCUAAUGUGGCACCUCUCAUAAAAGGUAUUUAUCUAUUUUCUUUGAUAAUUUUUUCCUAUUUUUUGUGCAUAAGAAAAAUCGCAGGCCACUAGCCAUUGUGUAAACUGUAACUGUUCACAUUUAUUUCUUAUUUAAAUUAAAAGGGCAUCAAAGAUGAAAUGUCCCGACCUAUCAUAUUCCAACUACUAUAAUUUAUGUCGCGUAUAUUCAUUGUUAAGGGAAAAACGGUUUCUACAUUGAGUUUUCAUUGUUACAGAAACCGUCAUUUUUUGCAUUGAAACUAUUCUAAAUUCAUUAUAAUUAGACAUUCAGAACAGUGAAUGACUGUAUAAUUAAGUUUCAGAUUCAAAAACCUCUCAUUUUCUGAUAUUAAAUGAAGAAAAUUUAUGACGUUUUUGUAAAUUAUAUUAUAAGAUACAGGUGAAAAAGUGAACAGAGCAACGAGCGGUUGGUGUUGUGAACGACCUUCACCAACAAGUGUGUCAGAGCAUCUAUUUUUCAGUUUUGUCGGACUUUGUUUGAUUAACUUCCAUUAUAGGAAUCCAAUGAAGAAAUUAUCCGAGUAAGACUAUUAUUUUUCAAGAUGGUGAAUACAUAUUUGAAAGUAUUGUCGAUUUUAUUUAUUCGACUAAAAGUGCGGAAUUGUGUUUGAAUAUAUCAUCUAUGUUUGGUAUCUAAUGGUUCUCUCCAAAUUUAAUUUGCGCAGGAAAUUUCAAAUAUAUAUAUUUCAGUUAGAAUAGUGUGUGACUGUAUUUGUGGUAAGGUAAUUGAACUGCAAUGAAAAAAUUUAAGUGUUCACUGCUCAAUACUCUAUGUGUAAUUGAAAUUGUGUCAAGAUGUGUGUGUCUGUCAAGAAUAUAGAUGUUAUUGACGUGUGUAUACAAAUGCGACUUGUGUUGUGUGUUUAAGAUGAC
rnacentral:lncRNA from 1 species